GAGACACGUGUGUUUAUCUGCUGCAGAGAGACUGAUGAAGGAAUGCUACCAUCAAAGGACUUGUAUCUUUUGUGGUGGAGCAGGACCUGCAAGGAAAGGUAGUCGUGCUCAUGGGGUGCAGGCACACGAAAGUUUGGAGUAGACACAGCAGUCAGAUUGUCCUGCACGUGUUCUUCUGCUCUCGCUUUAAGGUUGUGUGGCUCAGAGAGCCGUCAUCAAGGUCUUCCUCAUCCUGUUGCUCAACGACAUCCCCCUUGAGAAGAGUGAGACUGUGAAGUGCAGCAGCAGAACUGUAUCAGCUGUGUUCAGAUGGCAGGACGAUGUUA